UAGCAGUGAAAUGCGUAGAUAUCGAGAGGAAUACCAACGCGAAAGGCAGGUCACUGGGCAGUUACUGACACUGAGGCACGAAGGCCAGGGGAGCAAACGGGAUUAGAUACCCCGGUAGUCCUGGCAGUAAACGGUGCACGUNUGGUGUGGGCGCAAUCGACCGCGUCCGCGCCGUAGCUAACGCGUUAAGCGUGCCGCCUGGGAAGUACGGUCGCAAGAUUAAAACUCAAAGAAAUUGACGGGGACCCGCACAAGCGGUGGAGUAUGUGGCUUAAUUCGAUGCAACGCGAAGAACCUUACCUGGUCUUGACAUGCAUUGUGUCUCCGCUGAAAGGCGGAUAGGGUAGCAAUACCCGCUUUGCACAGGUGCUGCAUGGUUGUCGUCAGCUCGUGUCGUGAGAUGUUGGGUUAAGUCCCGCAACGAGCGCAACCCUUGUCCUAUGUUGCCAGCACGUAAUGGUGGGGACUCGUAGGAGACUGCCGGGGUCAACUCGGAGGAAGGUGGGGACGACGUCAAAUCAUCAUGCCCCUUAUGUCCAGGGCUGCAAACAUGCUACAAUGGCCGGUACAAAGGGCUGCGAAACCGCGAGGUGGAGCGAAUCCCAUAAAGCCGGUCUCAGUUCGGAUUGGAGUCUGCAACUCGACUCCAUGAAGCUGGAGUUGCUAGUAAUCCCGGAUCAGCAACGCCGGGGUGAAUACGUUCCCGGGCCUUGUACACACCGCCCGUCACACCAUGAAAGUUG
rnacentral:rRNA from 1 species